GACGAACGCUGGCGGCGUGCCUAAUACAUGCAAGUAGAACGCUGAAGGAGGAGCUUUCUCUUCUGGAUGAGUUGCGAACGGGUGAGUAACGCGUAGGUAACCUGCCUGGUAUCGGGGGAUAACUAUUGGAAACGAUAGCUAAUACCGCAUAACAGUAUAUGUUGCAUUACAUUUACUUAAAAGUUGCAUUUUCAUCACUACCAGAUGUACCUGCCUUGUAUUAGCUAGUUGGUGUGGUAACGGCUCACCAAGGCGACGAUACAUAUCCGACCUGAGAGGGUGAUCGGCCAAAAUGGGAAUGAGACAAGGCCCAGACUACUACGGGAGGCAGCAGUAGGGAAACUUCGGAAAUGGACGGAAGUCUGAACGAGCAACGCCGAGUGAGUGAAGAAGGUAUUCGGAUCGUAAAGCUCUGUUGUAAGAGAAGAAAGAGUGUGAGAGUGGAAAGUUCACACUGUGACGGUAGCUUACCAGAAAGGGACGGCUAACUACGUG
rnacentral:rRNA from 1 species